CCAAAAACGUUAACCUGAAAUUUGCACUAUCAUUUUCUAUGUUCAGUGAACCGUAAAAUUGGGGUCAAAACUCUAAUUUGGCAUUAAAAUUAGAAAGAUCAUAUCAUAGGGCACAUGUAUACUAAGUUUCAAGUUGAUUGGACUUCAACUUCAUCAAAAACUACCUUGACCAAAAACUUUAACCUGAAGCGGGACAGACGGACGAACGAACGGACGGACGAACGGACGCACAGACCAGAAAACAUAAUGCCCCUCUACUAUUGUAGGUGGGGUAUAAAAA
rnacentral:lncRNA from 1 species